UGAGGAAUAUUGGUCAAUGGUCGCAAGACUGAACCAGCCAUGCCGCGUGCAGGAAGACGGUCCUAUGGAUUGUAAACUGCUUUUAUACAGGAAGAAACCCUCUCACGUGUGGGAGCUUGACGGUACUGUAUGAAUAAGCAUCGGCUAACUCCGUGCCAGCAGCCGCGGUAAUACGGAGGAUGCGAGCGUUAUCCGGAAUCAUUGGGUUUAAAGGGUCCGUAGGCGGUUUAAUAAGUCAGUGGUGAAAUCUGGUCGCUCAACGAUCAAACUGCCAUUGAUACUGUUAGACUUGAAUAAUUGUGAAGUAACUAGAAUAUGUAGUGUAGCGGUGAAAUGCUUAGAUAUUACAUGGAAUACCAAUUGCGAAGGCAGGUUACUAACAAUUUAUUGACGCUGAUGG
rnacentral:rRNA from 1 species